rnacentral:misc_RNA from 1 species
AGCAGCCGCGGUAAUUCCAGCUCCAAUAGCGUAUAUUAAAGUUGUUGCAGUUAAAAGCUCGUAGUUGAAUUUCGGGAUCAAUAUGUUGGUCGUGCCCUCGGUACGUCACUGGCAUCAUUGAUUUCUACCUUCUGAUGAACCAUGAUGCCAUUAAUUUGGUGUCAUGGGGAAUCAGGACUGUUACUUUGAAAAAUUAGAGUGUUUAAAGCAGGCUCACGCUUGAAUACAUUAGCAUGGAGUAAUGAAAUAGGACGUUUGAUUCUAUUUUGUUGGUUUCUAGGAUCGACGUAAUGAUUAAUAGGGAUAGUUGGGGGCAUUAGUAUUCAAUUGUCAGAGGUGAAAUUCUUGGAUUUAUUGAA